AACGAACGCUGGCGGCAGGCCUAGCACAUGCAAGUCGAGCGAGGACUUCGGUUCUAGCGGCGGACGGGUGAGUAACGCGUGGGAAUGUGCCCUUCUCUACGGAAUAGCCCUGGGAAACUGGGAGUAAUACCGUAUACGCCCUUUUGGGGAAAGAUUUAUCGGAGAAGGAUCAGCCCGCGUUGGAUUAGGUAGUUGGUGGGGUAAUGGCCUACCAAGCCGACGAUCCAUAGCUGGUUUGAGAGGAUGAUCAGCCACACUGGGACUGAGACACGGCCCAGACUCCUACGGGAGGCAGCAGUGGGGAAUCUUAGACAAUGGGGGCAACCCUGAUCUAGCCAUGCCGCGUGAGUGAUGAAGGCCUUAGGGUUGUAAAGCUCUUUCAGCUGGGAAGAUAAUGACGGUACCAGCAGAAGAAGCCCCGGCUAACUCCGUG
rnacentral:rRNA from 1 species